rnacentral:tRNA from 5 species
GCCGACGUGGUGGAACUGGCAGACACGCACGACUCAAAAUCGUGUGCCGCAAGGCAUGUGGGUUCGAUUCCCACCGUCGGCACUA